UACGAGGGGGGCAAGCGUUGUUCGGAAUUAUUGGGCGUAAAGGGCGCGUAGGCGGUGCGGUAAGUCACCUGUGAAAACUCUGGGCUCAACUCAGAGCCUGCAAGCGAAACUGUGGUGCUGGAGUAUGGGAGAGGUGCGUGGAAUUCCCGGUGUAGCGGUGAAAUGCGUAGAUAUCGUAAGGAAGACCGGUGGCGAAGGCGAGUCUCUGGACAGUUACCGACGCUGAGGCACGAAGGUCAGGGGAGCAAACGGG
rnacentral:rRNA from 1 species